rnacentral:lncRNA from 1 species
UUUUCCUUCGAUUUCCUUACACUAAGAGACAUCAGUAUUGGUUGAAGUUAGAAACAAUUUUUAUGCAAAAACAAGCUGAGAUUGCUGUUUGGGGUGAGCCAAGGCUCUUUCUUAAAUGCUGUUAUUUGGCCUAUAAUUAUUAACUUUAAAUACAUUGUGACCAUGGAUUUUUUUCUCAAUAUGGCUAUAAAUGACCCGUUUUUCUUCGAUUUCCUUACUUUAAGAAAUAUCAGUAAUGCUGGAUCCUGGAAGCAAUUUUUAUGCAAACAAUUAUUACCUGUAUUUAAAGAUAUUUUUAUUAGAAAUCAAACUGGUAAGUUUAAAAAAACAUAUAAAGCAACUAAGAUCAUGGAACGCAAGAUAAUUUUUUUAUCGAGGACCUUGGAUUUCAAUAUUGUUGAAAGCUGAACAGACAUGUACAUAACUAAAAACAGGGACUUUAAAUACAGUCAAGUAUAUACUUAGUAUAGAAAGUCCCUGUUACAACGAAUGGGGUGAACUACUAAGGCAUUAACCAUAAUGUUCUCGUACGAUCGGGAGAAGCGGUUAAAAGAGCUGAUUCAGCCGGUAAUUUUGUGUAGAA